UGCGCAGGCGGACUUUUAAGUCAGUGGUGAAAUCCCGAGGCUCAACCUCGGAACUGCCAUUGAUACUGGAAGUCUUGAAUCUGGUUGAAGUGGGCGGAAUGUAGCAUGUAGCGGUGAAAUGCUUAGAUAUGCUACAGAACACCGAUCGCGAAGGCAGCUCACUAAGCCAAGAUUGACGCUCAGGCACGAAAGCGUGGGGAGCAAACAGGAUUAGAUACCCUGUUAGUCC
rnacentral:rRNA from 1 species